UUUCCUCUCUAUUUUCUCUAGAUCUAGACCAUACAUGAGAUCUAAAUCUAGACUUCACUUUCACAUCACAUGAUUAUUGAUACAGACAGUGAAUGAAACGAAUGCAGUGAUUAUAUUAUAGUUUAUACUGACUUAUAGCUCUACCAGUUGAUUAUCAUCAUCAUCAUCUGAGGUCAUCUCGAAUAAUAAUCUAGACUAUUAUUAACAAGUAGAACCAUGCCAACCAGUUCUGAUGAUGUACCAGAAUGGCUCAAGGAUCAUACUUAUACUAUUUCUACUCUCUGGGCAGACAUUAAUAAUAUUGGCAUCCAUUCAAUAUUUAUUUUAUGUUUGGAAAUGCAAGAAAAAGGCAUGCAUUCCUGACAAGUCAAUGAUUGGUUGCACCUCUUAAAGAUAACUUUCUGUUAUGAGAAAAGAUGAGAUUCUUGGACUCCUACAUAGCACCACCAGAAAGGAAAAUCCCAUCAUGUUGCAAAAUAAAAGUCUUGGACCAAUUUUAAUUUAAGAUAUAUAUAUUAUACUGUAAGCUCUAUACAUAUUUAUGUAUAUCCUGUCAUUCAGCCAACAGGUUUGGAUUUAGUAUUUCUUUAAAUCUGUUUGAUAUUGUACUUGAAAACUAUUAAUCUGAGCCCCAUUAAAACAAUAGGGAGUGCAGUGAAUGAGUGGUAAAGCACUUGGCUUCUGAACUGAGGGUUCCUGGGUUCAAUUAAGACUGGGAUUUUCAAUUUCAGAAUUCAAAAGGCUAGGGAUACAUGGCAAUAGUAAGGAAUAAGUAAAGGCAGUUUGGGGAUCCAUGGCUGAAUGGUUAAGUCAUGGGUUUGAAUCUCUGUGAAGACUCGGGUUAAAUUUUUUUUAGAUUUUUGGCCCCUAAGUCCACCUAACUCUAAUGGGUAGCUGACUUUUGUUUUGGAAAGUAAAGAUGGUUGGUUGUUGUGCUGGCCACAUGAUGCACUGGCCAAAGAAUCAAAUGACCUUAACAUCAUCUGCCCUAUAGAUUGUGACGUCUGAAAUGGGAUUUUUUUUCAAAAGGUGGUUGGUUGUUGUGCUGGGUACAUGACACCCUCGCUAACCAUGGGGCACAGAAACUGAUAAACUUUAUAUCAUCUGCCCCAUAGAUUGCAAGAUAUAUAAGGGAAAUUUUACUUUUUAAAAAUUAAAAUAAGAAUCUAUCAAAAGUAAACAUAAAAUAUGGUGCAUUCUCCUUAAAACUAAAACCUGGUGCGAAGGUUUAAAAUGUUGGCAAAAAAAAGCAACAUCAUAUAUUCUUAAUUCCCUUUGCAAAACUUACUGAGAAGAACAUGCAUGUUGUUCCCUCAUAAUUUUCUUGACAGAGGAAAUCUUGUUUAUAUUAGAUUUGAAUUAAGCAAAUUAAGAAAAAAAUUAUAAUCAUUAUUUCAAAUGGUUGUAUCUAAACCUUAUGAAUUAUUUUUCCGUUAUAAGUAUAUUGAGAUUAAUGGAUAAUCAUGAAAUUGUAAAAUAAUUGCUGCUAUCAUUCCAUUGACUAAAGAACCAUAAUUUAUUUUUUUUUUUUAAAUUAAUUUCA